ensembl:snRNA U6 U6 spliceosomal RNA
GUCCUCACUUCAGCAGUACAUAUACUAAAAUUGGAACGAUACAGAGAAGAUUAGCAUGGCCCUGCACAAGGAUGAUAUGCAAAUUCGGGAAGCAUUAUAAAAUAAU